UACCAGCACCCCGAGUGGUCGGGACGAUUAUUGGGCCUAAAGCAUCCGUAGCCGGUUCUGCAAGUCCCCCGUUAAAUCCAGCUGCUCAACAGAUGGGCCGCGGAGGAUACUCCAGAGCUAGGAGGCAGGAGAGGCAAGCGGUACUCAGUGGGUAGGGGUAAAAUCCGUUGAUCCAUUGAAGACCACCAGUGGCGAAGGCGGCUUGCCAGGAUGCGCUCGACGGUGAGGGAUGAAAGCUGGGGGAGCAAACCGG
rnacentral:rRNA from 1 species